GCAUUUGUGGUGUUUAGAAAUAAUUUAAUUUGGAAGUAACAUGAAGGAAAUUUGCAUAAGAUGGUUUAGUUUUCUGAAAUGGAAACCAAUUCGACCAUAGUGAUAUAAGAAAAAAAUGAAAUAGUGAAAAACAUGAACAUGAGACAGGGUGGUAGGCUAACAAUUUUGUAUCCAUAAUCUCACUGACCGUAUGCCUCUGGACAGAGAGGAUACGUGUUAUCAUAUAUGUUGUUUUUGCUCUGAUUUUGUAUCCUUGUCAUUAACGUCUAUUAAUUUAUUUUAAACA
rnacentral:misc_RNA from 1 species